GACGAACCGUGCGAACGUUAUUCGGAAUCACUGGGCUUAAAGCGCGUGUAGGCGGGACGGCGCGUCGGCCGCUGAAAUCCCCCGGCUCAACCGGGGAAGUGGCGCCGAAACGGCCGCCCUGGAGCGACGUAGGGGGGACUGGAACUUCCGGUGGAGCGGUGAAAUGCGUUGAGAUCGGAAGGAACGCCCGUGGCGAAAGCGGGUCCCUGGACGUCGGCUGACGCUGAGACGCGAAAGCCAGGGGAGCGAACGGG
rnacentral:rRNA from 1 species